rnacentral:rRNA from 1 species
CUACGGGUCGCUGCAGUGGGGGAUAUUGCACAAUGGGCGAAAGCCUGAUGCAGCAACGCCGCGUGAAGGAAGACGGUUUUCGGAUUGUAAACUUCUAUCAGCAGGGAAGAAAAUGACGGUACCUGACUAAGAAGCCCCGGCUAACUACGUGCCAGCAGCCGCGGUAAUACGUAGGGGGCAAGCGUUAUCCGGAAUUACUGGGUGUAAAGGGUACGUAGGCGGCUGAUCAAGUCAGAUGUGAAAGCCCGGAGCUCAACUCCGGGAUUGCAUUUGAAACUGGUCGGCUAGAGUGCAGGAGAGGAAAGUGGAAUUCCUAGUGUAGCGGUGAAAUGCGUAGAUAUUAGGAAGAACACCAGUGGCGAAGGCGGCUUUCUGGACUGUAACUGACGCUGAGGUACGAAAGCGUGGGGAGCGAACAGGAUUAGAUACCCCGGUAGUC